UAGCUUGUUGAAGUGAAGCAGUGGUCCCUGGUGUCUCAUGGAGAGAAGAGCCAUGGUCCAAAUGUGCAGGCAGACAGCAGGACAGGAAACGCCAACUUCCAGGUGGAACUUCAGCAGUCAAACAGCCAUAAUCCGAGGGAGGGAGUGCAGUUUAAACACGGAUUAGUUCCUCCACAAGCCAUCCUGGGGUGACGUGAUUUGACUGUAGCCAGAUCUUUAUUCUACUCCCCAGCAGAUGCUGAGAGGAUGGUUUACCGCUCCGUGAUUUCUUCUGCGACUACCAUGAAUGACAAGAGAGUCAUUACUGCAUGAGGCGACAGGUUCCAGCAAGUCACUUCUCAGAGGCAACAGGGAGCACGAAGGCACAGAUUUAUUCAUGGGACUAGUGUGCUCUGUCAGAGGCAGACCUCACUAUCUGCUAAUCUACCACAGUGGGGACUCGAGAGCCGGAGCAGCAGAGUUGAGCUUUUAACUGAAUUGUCUUCUCAGGCCUGUGUAGACCCAUGGAGUCCAGACACAGGCCGGUGAACGCUGUGACAUCUCCACUCCCCUCAGCUCUAGUGCUGCUGCCUUCAUCCAAUUUACCAUGAAAGGAAUCCAGACAGUCCCAUAAUAUGACCCACGGCUGCCUCGAUUGAACACGGUCGACAACUCUGGGCCCGGGCUUCACACACAUAACCAGCCGGCUAUCUACUGAGGACCAUUGGCUGCCUGUUACCCCUUGAUAAGGCCCAUUGCCCAGGGACAGAGUGGACAGGUCCAUCUGGCGGCAUUUCAUAGUGAAGAGUGCCCCCUGGUGCCUUUGAGGGCUCAGCACAGUUACAGAGCCAACUGAGUUGUAAACACAUCGCCUCUAACUGUAGUCAGGGGGUGGUUUUACUGUCGGACACAGAUUACAGCAGUCUUUCCUCCCUAAUUUCAUGCAGCAGCGGUGCUUUGGGGUAAUUUUUUGUUGUUUUGGUUCCACAUCCAUCCUCGUGUCAGUCACAGUUAUCUUUCUAAUGCAGGCGACUGCAGUGAGAAUAUUUUUUCUUCAGAUACUUUAUCACAAUGAAAACAUGAUUUGUCAGCGUUAGGGCUGAACCUCCAUUUGUUUUGAGGGGAAAUUAGAAAAAAAAAUAGAGCUAUUUUAAUGUCACUUUUUUCUUGCGGUGAUUGUCGUUUUUCUUGCUGCGAUGCCACACCUUGUGAAUAAUGAGAAAUCAACGCUAUGCAGCCCAUAAUUAAGUCCCAAUUUUCUGACUGAACGGAAGAAACCUAAAAUAAGUCAGUGGUUUCCUGAUGUAUGAAAGUAUGUUGGACAAAGACUGCAGUAAUACUGAUUUUGAUUUCCUUUAACUGUCCAAAGCUCCCAUUUUUUGCAGAUUCAUGUGUUAUCUCUUGUGUUAGAGAAGAAAAUGAACAGGUGUUGCUAAAGUGUGUCUUUUUGUCUAUUCCUAGAGGGAGAAAAGACACACUUUAGCAACACCUGUUCAUUUUGUUCUAGUGGGUCUAUAACACAAGAGAUAACACAUGAAUCUGCAAAAAAUGGGAGCUUUGGUAAAACGGCUAACCAAAUCAAACAAAUUUUGCAAACGUUUACAGUCCCAUGAGCUAAAUGCUGCUCCAGAGGUUUUCUCUCUUCCCCUUUAAAUAUAUACAAACUAAUGAAUAAAUAAAAUGCUAGGAGCAACAUCAGCAUCCCUGUAGUUGUUUUGGCAAAUUUACAAAAAUACCUAAUACUGGCAGAAAGUUCCUGCAUCUUCUAUCCAAAAACACUACCAAAUCCUCCUGUGUUUCUCUCUCUGUGUAUGUGACAGACUGACAAUGGAAACAGAAAUGGAGCAAGACAGUGAAACAGAUAUUUUCUACCUUUAUUUACCAGGCUGAAAGUUUGUGUGUAUGAGUGUGUGCGUGCUGGCAUUUCUUCAUCUCUAAUGGUAGGACUGUGUAUCAUUUUUUGGAGAGUGUGACAAAUUGGGGCCCUCGGCUCUGUGAUAGAGGGAACCGGGACCAUCUAGCUUGCAUUAUUCAUGAGGAGUGGGAGUGUCAAGCUGUGAUAUGGUGUCUACCACCAUAACAAAGCUACAGUCAGAAUGUCAAAAUACAUGUAUACAGCUUAUACAUUUCCCCAUCUGAACCCACACUAAUAAACAGGAAACGAAGGCAUUAUGGCACCAACUAAUGAUAAUGUGAACAGUUUUGAUUAAGAAGUUGGUUUACUUGUUGAGAGAGUGGGUUUACGAUGACUUUACUCACUUUGAAAAGAACACAAGUUGUGAGUAUGUUUAGACCAAUUACAGACAAUUAAACACAAUCUGUAUACAUUAUAAUUAACAUAUUUUCAGAACCUAGCACACUAUGAAAUAAACUGAAUAUCACUGAAGUACUUCAGAUGUUGUAUAUUUGCAGAAAAACAGCGCACUCUUGUGGUAUGAAAGCACAGAGAAUUUUCAGUAACUACCCACAAGCUGUGUAGUAAAGAGAUUCAAGAUCUAAAAGUACAGUCGUUUUCUAACAAAAACAUAAAGCUACUUAAUCAUUUUAUUAUCUCAGUCUGCCUAAUUUGUUGCCAGAGGUAACAAAGUCAUUAUGAAUUACAAUUUUCUUUUAAUCUAAUGGUAUACAUGGAAAUUAUUCUCUUAUGCUUUAUUCAUAGUAUAUUAAGCUUCCUCUAAUUUAUUAAAAAUAUAAGUAAAUCUGAGCAAUUACAGUGAAAAAUGAGGCACAAAUUAAAUGUCUUACUUGCAGGAGAAACUAUAAUAUGUUAUAGCAUAUAUGUAUCCCAAAACACUAGCCUAAGGUAAUCAUUUUUUUUUCUUAUUAUGGGUAUGUGGUGCACAGUGAGUUGGAGAUAUAGAAUGUCAUUGUAAGAAGAUAAAACAGCUAAUGUAAGAAACAAAUGGGAAAUAAAAUAAAUUAGAAUAGUAACAAAUGAGAGUUUGGACUUGCGCUAUUCUCACAGUUCCGGAUAACAAGACAAUACAAAACAAGUAAAUAAAAGCAAGGGGAGACUUCAAUAUCUCUUUUUUAUUAAUUCUGACACACUGCGGUCAGAUAGAAAAGUAUGAGAGUUACACUUUUCAAGUUGCUUCCAUGACUUGUGCAAACACUAGACGGUAUCUGGGGAAAACUCCUCUGAAGGAAAAAUGAAAUUGGAAAAGAAAGACAUCAAAAUGCAGAGGAAAUGAAUAAGUGCAUUUAAACCUAGGUGUUGAUUCUUUAUGCAGUAUUUAUUGAUUCCCAGCUUCAUAUAAACUGGAUGUUGAGGCAUAAACAUAGUACAUUUGAACAAAAAUAUAACCAAUAUUUACAAUUAUUGUAUUAAAAAUACAAAAACAACUGAUACAUACUCCACCAAUUGUCUUUUUAAAAGACAUACAGGUCAAAGUAGUACAAGAAAGAAUGAAGAAAAGAAGGUCAUCACCAGCUAAAUGUACAUUUCUCACUGACAUCACACAUCAAACAGAGUAGCAGUUCUACCUACUACACUUAUCUUUACGCUUGUACAUUUUUGUGCAACUUUUUGUUUUUCGAAAUAGGACUCGGCGCACUAAUAUGCACAUUAUCUUCAGAGUUGAAUGAAAGUGAACGAUGCAUGUCACCACUGUAUUACAAACAAAUUAUUAACAAUCUAUCUGCAGCCAUUACAAAAAAAUUACAAUAACAAAAGAAACCCAGGAAAUUAUUAGUGUGUAGUCAUGGAACACAGUGGAAAACACUGCACUCAUUCAUCUGUUUCUCAGUCUGUAGUUUCCAAGACUGAUCAA